rnacentral:rRNA from 1 species
AUUGAACGCUGGCGGCAGGCCUAACACAUGCAAGUCGAGCGGAUGAAGGGAGCUUGCUCCUGGAUUCAGCGGCGGACGGGUGAGUAAUGCCUAGGAAUCUGCCUGGUAGUGGGGGAUAACGUCCGGAAACGGGCGCUAAUACCGCAUACGUCCUGAGGGAGAAAGUGGGGGAUCUUCGGACCUCACGCUAUCAGAUGAGCCUAGGUCGGAUUAGCUAGUUGGUGGGGUAAAGGCCUACCAAGGCGACGAUCCGUAACUGGUCUGAGAGGAUGAUCAGUCACACUGGAACUGAGACACGGUCCAGACUCCUACGGGAGGCAGCAGUGGGGAAUAUUAGACAGAGGGCGAAAGCCUGAUCCAGCCAUGCCGCGUGUGUGAAGAAGGUCUUCGGAUUGUAAAGCACUUUAAGUUGGGAGGAAGGGCAGUAAGUUAAUACCUUGCUGUUUUGAUGUUACCAACAUAAUAAGCACCGGCUAACUUCGUG